AUAUAUGGUUUUUCAAUGCUAAGGAAACAGAACUACCUUUAGUAGGUUACUUACUGCCACAGGUGACAAAACAUCAAGCACCAAAACUCCAACCAGCAGUGUUAAUUUUUUUGUUUCAUUUCCUAUUUCUUUGGAUCAUAGCUGUGUGGAAAAGUUAUCUGUCAAGACUAGAGCUUGUAGUUCAAAGAGUAACCUUUCCAAACUCCUUUAUGUAUGUUGCCAUAGUUCUUCUGCAUAGCAGUUCCAGAAAUCUCUGAAAAACAUUGUCAGGCUCCUGCAGCAACUCAGAGAAUAUACCUUUAAAGGAAGUAGUAGGCAGGGAAGAAGUGCAUGCAGAAGUGGAUGGAGGAAAGCUUAAUGAUAACAUCAAUGAGGAACGUCUCUCCAGCAGAAGUGGAGCACAAGUCUUAAAGUGACCCACAAAAGUGGUGCACACUUUUGCAGAACAGUAAGCCAAGUGGUAAACUGAACUGGGCCUACAGUGUUGAGUGUGUUAUAUUACUGAAACUGUUCCUGUGGUUAAAAAAAGGAACUGAUGCAAAGAAAAGGAGCAAUCCCCCAUUCUGGAGCCAUGAAUGCCAAUUUUGCUGUUUAUAGAGGCUUUCUCCCCCUGGGAAAUUUCCAGAAAGCGGAGUCUCCUGCUGUGUCUGGUGCCUUCUGCACCUAAGAUAAUUUGCUUCUCCUUAGCAACAUUCUUUUUCCUGGCAUGUUUGGAGUCCCCGAGAUGAACACUCUGAUAUCAUAAGGGGAAAUGAAUACAGAUGAAAAGGAAUGAUUCCAAAGGAAUGAUGACCUCUGUUUUUGAGGAUGGCUCCCUUAGGAAUGCAAUUUGCUCUUCAGCUCAAGAAACGUGUAAGAGGCAAA
rnacentral:lncRNA from 1 species